GUGUUCCUACAUGUGGGGCCACCACGUCGGAAGAGCACCCCAGGGAGACGCUGCUGGAGAAGACUCAGCCAAGUGAGGUUCAGACACACAUGCCUACUAGCACUGUUCCCAUGGACAGUAAUGUGGUGGCCAUUAUCAUAGCUACCAUUUCUUCUUCAGUGUUCAUCGUGGCCAUUUUGGUGCUGCUGCUGCUUUUGUACCACCGGGACCCUCUGUGCUGCCAGUUUCUGUGCUCUUGCCGUUUCUUCCAGAAUCCCAGUCAAUAUGAUUGUCCUCCUCCCUACUUCAGCAGCAACCAGCGACUGGUGGGGCCUCAGUCUGGAGCACAACACCUGGAGACAAACACCACUGAAAAUCCUGCUGUACAGGGAGACGAACUGUUCUGCGUUGGACCCCCUGGCAGUUACCAGCUCCCUCCAUGGGAGCAGCCGCGCCUGCCAAGCUAUGAGAGCGUGCGGAAGAAGGACCGGCAACGGGAGAUCCACCAGAUGAUUGCUGAAAGGUUUGGCUUGUGGGCUGAAGUCCCCCAAGAAUUACCGCCUCCCUAUGAGCAAGCCCUGCAGUAUCCUGCAGCCUUAUCAGGAACGGAAGUGGGUUCAGCCUUGUCAGCCGGACAGAGCUUGCCAGAUAUGCUCCAGGCUUCACCCACGUACCCAACUCAAAGAAACACCUCGGUAUAG
rnacentral:lncRNA from 1 species